UAUCUGCUAUCAUGUCACAGGAUUUCAGGUAAUUAACUAUAUCAAGCUGCUUCAUUUAUUAAGUCUAACCGAUCCAAUGUACUUCGCUGUAGCUGAGUUAUUGCAUUUAAUUUAUGGUAAUUUAGCCCAGCAAGC